rnacentral:rRNA from 1 species
AUUGAACGCUGGCGGCAGGCUUAACACAUGCAAGUCGAGCGGGGAAAGGUAGCUUGCUACCUAACCUAGCGGCGGACGGGUGAGUAAUGCUUAGGAAUCUGCCUAUUAGUGGGGGACAACAUUCCGAAAGGAAUGCUAAUACCGCAUACGCCCUACGGGGGAAAGCAGGGGAUCUUCGGACCUUGCGCUAAUAGAUGAGCCUAAGUCAGAUUAGCUAGUUGGUGGGGUAAAGGCCUACCAAGGCGACGAUCUGUAGCGGGUCUGAGAGGAUGAUCCGCCACACUGGGACUGAGACACGGCCCAGACUCCUACGGGAGGCAGCAGUGGGGAAUAUUGGACAAUGGGCGAAAGCCUGAUCCAGCCAUGCCGCGUGUGUGAAGAAGGCCUUUUGGUUGUAAAGCACUUUAAGCGAGGAGGAGGCUACUUGGAUUAAUACUCUAGGAUAGUGGACGUUACUCGCAGAAUAAGCACCGGCUAACUCUGUGCCAGCAGCCGCGGUAAUACAGAGGGUGCGAGCGUUAAUCGGAUUUACUGGGCGUAAAGCGUGCGUAGGCGGCUUUUUAAGUCGGAUGUGAAAUCCCUGAGCUUAACUUAGGAAUUGCAUUCGAUACUGGGAAGCUAGAGUAUGGGAGAGGAUGGUAGAAUUCCAGGUGUAGCGGUGAAAUGCGUAGAGAUCUGGAGGAAUACCGAUGGCGAAGGCAGCCAUCUGGCCUAAUACUGACGCUGAGGUACGAAAGCAUGGGGAGCAAACAGGAUUAGAUACCCUGGUAGUCCAUGCCGUAAACGAUGUCUACUAGCCGUUGGGGCCUUUGAGGCUUUAGUGGCGCAGCUAACGCGAUAAGUAGACCGCCUGGGGAGUACGGUCGCAAGACUAAAACUCAAAUGAAUUGACGGGGGCCCGCACAAGCGGUGGAGCAUGUGGUUUAAUUCGAUGCAACGCGAAGAACCUUACCUGGUCUUGACAUAGUAAGAACUUUCCAGAGAUGGAUUGGUGCCUUCGGGAACUUACAUACAGGUGCUGCAUGGCUGUCGUCAGCUCGUGUCGUGAGAUGUUGGGUUAAGUCCCGCAACGAGCGCAACCCUUUUCCUUAUUUGCCAGCGGGUUAAGCCGGGAACUUUAAGGAUACUGCCAGUGACAAACUGGAGGAAGGCGGGGACGACGUCAAGUCAUCAUGGCCCUUACGACCAGGGCUACACACGUGCUACAAUGGUCGGUACAAAGGGUUGCUACCUAGCGAUAGGAUGCUAAUCUCAAAAAGCCGAUCGUAGUCCGGAUUGGAGUCUGCAACUCGACUUCAUGAAGUCGGAAUCGCUAGUAAUCGCGGAUCAGAAUGCCGCGGUGAAUACGUUCCCGGGCCU